UACGUAGGGUGCAAGCGUUGUCCGGAAUUAUUGGGCGUAAAGAGCUCGUAGGCGGUCUGUCGCGUCUGCUGUGAAAACUCAGGGCUUAACCCUGAGCUUGCAGUGGGUACGGGCAGACUAGAGUGCGGUAGGGGAGACUGGAAUUCCUGGUGUAGCGGUGGAAUGCGCAGAUAUCAGGAGGAACACCGGUGGCGAAGGCGGGUCUCUGGGCCGGUAACUGACGCUGGAGGAGCGAAAGCAUGGGGAGCAAACAGG
rnacentral:rRNA from 1 species